AUGAUGUCAAAAAGAAUAUACAGAAAAAUCAGUAUCAAAAUGAGUCUCAAUUUUAACUGUACCCAUGUCACAAAUUGUACCCCUGGUGCGGGUAAUCCUGUGGAAACGUGGUAUAUCCCUGAACUCCAAACCUUUAUACGAGAUUGGGGGUACCCUUCCUACAGUUUUCACAGCGCGUACCAUAGUUGUGACAAAAUUGUAAAUAAGGCGGGGAAACAUACUAAAUUGGGAGGAUGUGGAAUACUGGUCUCUCAUGAGGAGGAAACCUGCUCCAUGGCAAGGUAUCCACCUCCAUCUGGUACAGCGUGGGGAUGUUCAAAUGGAAAAUUAUAUUCCCAUCUUAAUAUAAAACAGCAUGCUGGGCUGAAGUGCGGAGUUGGAACACCAACCAUGUGUCCUAGGGGGAUUUUUAACUUUACCUCACCGCAUAGGAGAAAGCGAAGGGGAAGUGAUAAACCCCAAGCUCGACCCGAAUGGGCCAUACAUGGAGUUCAAAUACCUGACUAUUAUACUUGGGGAAUGAGAACAUCUUUGACGUUAGAAAACAUAUUUGCCCUGUAUGUAACCCUUAAAAGACACCAAUUUGUCUUAGAAAAUAUUACAUGGCAAAUACAUAUUUCAAGUAAUUGGACUCGGUAUGCCUUUGGGAAGCUGAAUACUCAAUUACGACAAGCAUCUAAAAUGAUACUACAAAAUAGGUUAGCCUUAGAUAUACUGUUAUUAAAAGAACAUGGGGUUUGUGGUAUAUUAAAUCAUACUGGAGAAGAAGGCUGUGUUACAAUUCACAGCGCCGCUACCUCGAUCGAAGAAGCUCGUGCUAAAACGAAGGAAGCUGCUGACCGAACUGGGGAAUUAUUCUACGCCUCGCAGCCGAAGCACUGGUUCGACAGAUGGAGUCCAAGCUCUUGGCUAGGAUCAGGCCUGAGAUCGUUAGGACUCACCAGAUGGGGAAAGCGGCUACUAAACAUUGGACUAAUGCUGUUAUGUGGAUUUUUAUUUUUGUUGAUUGGUUUGGCAGUAGUGCGGUGUAUGAUUAACCGUUUGCUCUCUUCAGUUUCCUCUCCCUUUUCACCCUCCGUUCGCUAUGUACGGAUCACCACCCUAGAAGGACUCUACGGAAACGGGAUUCAACCGAGUGUUUGA
rnacentral:lncRNA from 1 species